GGGGGCUGAACUCAGGUGGGGUGCCCUGUUCAAUCAGCAAGGGAAAAGGCAGUUGGGGGAGAGAACUGGCCCAGCUACCAGGAGCCCUGAGGGCAAAGCGGAUGGUGGGAUCCUCCCUCUGGCCCAUGCGCUGGCAGCAGGUGACUAGAACUGCCCAACAUCCCUUCUCUACAGCGAAUGUUUGUCUUUUGCUCUGGGUCUGCUUAAUAGAGAUGGAAGGGACGAGAUUGAUAGAACUGAAGCCUUCAGACCUCUCCCUACCACAGAACAGGCUACUGCCAGAAGGGUCUUCCCAGUUGUCCGACAGCAGUUCUUCAUGUAAAGAAAGGAGCUGGAGUACUGAGCAGCCACUGCUCUAACUGAAGUCAUUGGCAGCUGUGGCUAAUCAACACUUCUGCAGAUGAGCCCCAGGGCUCUUAAAAGUUGAGUCAUUGAAAAUCAGUGGCCAUUCUCUAGAAGGUUUUGGCCAUAACAAGGUAUAGGUCUGAGCCAUUAGCUCAAUUGUUCAUAACUGGCUGCUGCUACAUCAUGGGACAAACUUGAAGACUGGACCAAGUAAGUCAGCAGGAGUCAGUCAAGAGGGCAUUGACCUGGGUUCAAUGGCUAGUUUGGCCAGUGACCUGCUGUGUGACCUUGAGCAAGACACUUUCUCUCGGUGGCUCAGUUUCCCGAGCACUCCUCAUUUUACAGAUCUUCUUUUUCAACAAUAGAUCUCCAAGGGCUACAUAAGAGCCAAACAUUAGAUCCAAAGUUUGAAGUAAUCCUGCUCAGUGGGUCUGAUUUGGGCCCAUCUAACUCUGGAAAGCUUAUUUUACUUUCCCCUGUCCAUGGUACCCUAAACAAAUUUUUACAGUGGAAAUGAAAGAUUUGGAAUGCCUUUGAAAGAAAGCAUGUAAGGAGCCAGUUUCAUCCUUGCUGGCAACUAAGCUACUUAUUCUGCUUGAACCAAGUGUUUACAAAUGGAUGUAACAAACCCAGUGUCAUAUCUUCAGUAGCUAGAGAGCAGAACUUGGAUCUAAUUUCCACCGUGGGGCAACUAUCUGACAGAAAGGGAAGUGUCUACAAGCCUGGUCCCUCUUCUCUGCUGUGAUUUAGUUUUCCAGACUUUUGUGCCACAAUAAAGAAUUGUACAACAGUAAAGGGUAGAAAGGAUUAAAAUGAGGAUUUUCAUUACUUUGACAAGGUACCUUCAUAUCCUCAUCCGGAUUCACAAAAUAUCUUUUGGAUUAUCAGCCUACAGUGCAUUCUGAACCACAGGCAAAUAUGAAAAAGAUAUCACACUUAUUAAUGUGGAUCUUUAUAAAUAUGCAUGUAAAGGAAAAGAGAAAACAUUUAACCAGAGAGUGACUGUGGACAUGUUCCCACCAAGAUUGUGGAAUGAAUUUUUCUAUGAAUUCUUUGUAUGGUAUUUACAUUACUUGAGAUAGGCUUCAGUGAGUCAAAACAAUCCCCCACAAAUUUUGUAUUCUCCCUGCCACAUUUCUUUAUUGAGAAACUAGGUCUUCUCAUUAGCUUCAAUUAGUAACCUAGGUCUUAUGCAGCUCACACAUUCCUGCUCUUUUUCUGUGUCCAUUGGAGUUUGUUCCAUCUGCUGAGUUUAUUCCCUUGCCAAAAGUCAAUGGCUUUAUUCUUCUAAUCUCUUUAUUUUCAGCUGGAGUUCUUACCCUGUGCUCCUUGAAUGGGUUUGUAAUUCUAGAACGAGGCGGGGAAGAGUACAUGCACACAGUAGAGGUGAUAGCUCUGCAUUGUUGGCAUCCAAUCAGAAAGCAGAUGUGAUUUAGUUUGAGGUUGUUUGCACCAUUGCACGUACCUUAUCAAAGUAAUGAAAAUUCACAUUUUUCUCCUUUCUACUCGUUACUGGUACAUAAUGCUCCUACCCCGGAAUUGGAAUGGAAUCCAUUGCAUUUGUCUCAUCUGAAAGUCUCAGAACGGGGCUAGGUUGCGAUAUCUGGUUCUGAUGUACUCGAUGACCCAUGUAAAUGGACCUUGGUGCCAUUAGAGACUCCAAAGCCGAUAGUGCCUGAUGAUUUUAACAUCCACGUGGAUGUUGAAUACUUACAAUCAGCUGGUACCAACUGAGCCAAAGUCAACCGAGGAAUGUCAUCUAGCCAGCGUUCAGAAACAUGUAAGGGCCUCUCUAGAAGCCUGCAAGUGCCAUCUGUACAGAUCUCCCCACCAUACAUAAUCCCAGGGACUAGACCACAGGCCUCAUCCCUGAUUAUAGCAUGGCCUGUUGACACAUUACAACUUCCAUAGUAUUUAACAGAAUAAGCAUAAGACUGGGGUUGCCCCAAAAUUCUUGCAUUCUGUUGGUCUCCCUGCCCCGAAUUAUCUUAAGGUUCAAGGAACUCAAGAGCUCACAACAGAUUGCCCCUGUUUGAUUUCCAUAUCCUCAAGGUAUGGCCCUAUUGUUCCAUCGCUCAGCCACCUUAAGGUGCUUAUCAAGAGGGAUAUAGCUGCUGAAGCUACAGGCAAGAAGGGUCUUCACAGAAGCCUGUCAAAGUCAUCUGUACAAAUCCCCACUCCAUACUUAAUCUAGUGCCUCAUUUGCUUUUUAACUAAGGAUGGCCUUCCUAUUCUUGGUGUAAUUCCAUUCUUCUUCUCGGUGUGCCUUGCAGAGAUACGCAAUCUGAAAUACGUGAACCAGCAUUUUCAAAGCCAGCGUUCAUGACCGGACAGCUGCUCUCUGAAGUAACAUCAAUGCUGUCUGCUUUCAUUUCUGUUUUCUUCCUCAAGCAAUGAGAUCUGACUGAUACUGAGCUUUCAUUGAAGCUGAUUCAUAGAGCAGAAGGCUGUAGGGGAUAUUUGUGCCGUUUCUCCGAACCUCUUCCCUAGUCAAUAUGUUGCCGCAUUUUCCGUUCAAAUGCAAUUUGCCAUUGUACUCAGGGAUGUUCUACUGACCCCCCUACAGAAAUGAAUACGUCGUAUACCAGCAAAAGCAACCUGAGAUUUUUCUGAAAAGUUUACAAACAUCUCUGGUUUUUUGCACUCAAAAUAUUAUCUGUACUGAAUGCCCCUGCAGGCAUUUUCAUCUUUAAAAGAUUCUGACUGUUAAAAUAAAUCCCAACUGAGUAGAUGCACGGCAUAUCACUAGAGAUUAUUUUGCGGGGGGAGGGGAAGAGAAGAAAAGAAAAUGAAGUGUUUUGCUUUCAAUUUUACACAUCACUUUCUGUCACAGCACUUACAUGCUGUAGUGCAAUGUAUUACACAGGUGUACAAAAGCCACCGACAAUUUUAAAGUGAUAGGUGACAGAUACAGCUUAAACAAGAUUUCAAAAAGGUUAUUUUCAGCAGCACACUGUAUUGUACUAAUGAUAACAGAUUUUUACUGCCAAAAUUUCGUGCCUAUUCGGUGGAUCAGAUUUGUGGGCAGGAGCAAAGUAAAGCAGUUAGUAUAAAAGGAUUCAGUUUAGCUCCAAAUCAUGUAUGUGAUAAUACUGUCUGAUUGUGUACCCAUUUAAUUAUGGAUUUUUAUUUGUCUUGCUUCAUGGUUCCUAUAUCAUCUACAACUCGAGAUCUUCUGUGCAAAUACUAUUAUCUAACUCAUUUGUAUAAAGAAGCUGCAGCCCAUAGCUGAUCCCUAACAAGUUUGUGCUCAUC